AACGCGAAGAACCUUACCAGCUUUUGACAUGUCCUGGACGGAUUGCAGAGAUGCGAUCUUCUCUUCGGAGCCGGGAACACAGGUGCUGCAUGGCUGUCGUCAGCUCGUGUCGUGAGAUGUUGGGUUAAGUCCCGCAACGAGCGCAACCCUCGCCCUUAGUUGCCAUCAUUCAGUUGGGCACUCCAGGGGGACUGCCGGUGAUAAGCCGGAGGAAGGUGGGGAUGACGUCAAGUCCUCAUGGCCCUUACAGGCUGGGCUACACACGUGCUACAAUGGCGGUGACAACGGGAGGCAAAGGGGCGACCCCUAGCAAAUCUCGAAAAGCCGUCUCAGUUCGGAUUGCACUCUGCAACUCGAGUGCAUGAAGUUGGAAUCGCUAGUAAUCGCGGAUCAGCACGCCGCGGUGAAUACGUUCCCGGGCCUUGUA
rnacentral:rRNA from 1 species